rnacentral:rRNA from 1 species
AUUGAACGCUGGCGGCAGGCCUAACACAUGCAAGUCGAACGAGUGGCGGACGGGUGAGUAAUGUCUGGGAAACUGCCCGAUGGAGGGGGAUCACUACUGGAAACGGUAGCUAAUACCGCAUACCAUAGGAUGUGCCCAGAUGGGAUUAGCUAGUAGGCGGGGAAAUGGCUCACCUAGGCGACGAUCCCUAGCUGGUCUGAGAGGAGGAACGACCACACGGGAACGGCGCAACGGUCUGAACGCCUACGGAGGGCAGCAGGGGGGAAUAUUGCACAAUGGGCGCAGGCCUGAUGCAGCCAUGCCGGGUGGAUAUAGAAGGCUUUGGGGUUGUAAGGUACGUUCAGCGGGGCGGCGUUACCCGCAGAAGAAGCACCGGCUAACUCCGUGCCAGCAGCCGCGGUAAUUC